CCUACGGGAGGCAGCAGUGGGGAAUAUUGCACAAUGGGGGAAACCCUGAUGCAGCGACGCCGCGUGAGUGAAGAAGUAAUUCGUUACGUAAAGCUCUAUCAGCAGGGAAGAAACACCGACCUUACGGUCAGCAGACGGUACCUGAGUAAGAAGCCCCGGCUAACUACGAGCCAGCAGCCGCGGUAAUACGUAGGGGGCAAGCGUUAUCCGGAUUUACUGGGUGUAAAGGGAGCGUAGACGGUGGGCCAAGUGUGGAGUGAAAUGCCGCAGCUUAACGGCGGAACUGCUUUGGAAACUGGCGAACUAGAGUGCGGGAGGGGUAAGCGGAAUUCCUAGUGUAGCGGUGAAAUGCGUAGAUAUUAGGAGGAACACCGGUGGCGAAGGCGGCUUACUGGACCGUAACUGACGUUGAGGCGCGAAAGCGUGGGGAGCAAACAGGAUUAGAUACCCCUGUAGUC
rnacentral:rRNA from 1 species